rnacentral:rRNA from 1 species
GACGAACGCUGGCGGCGUGCUUAACACAUGCAAGUCGAACGGAAAGGCCCUGCUUUUGUGGGGUGCUCGAGUGGCGAACGGGUGAGUAACACGUGAGUAACCUGCCCUUGACUUUGGGAUAACUUCAGGAAACUGGGGCUAAUACCGGAUAGGAGCUCCUGCUGCAUGGUGUGGGUUGGAAAGUUUCGGCGGUUGGGGAUGUACUCGCGGCUUAUCAGCUUGUUGGUGGGGUAGUGGCUUACCAAGGCUUUGACGGGUAGCCGGCCUGAGAGGGUGACCGGGCACAUUGGGACUGAGAUACGGACCAGACUCCUACGGGAGGCAGCAGUGGGGAAUAUUGCACAAUGGGCGGAAGCCUGAUGCAGCAACGCCGCGUGCGGGAUGACGGCCUUCGGGUUGUAAACCGCUUUCGCCUGUGACGAAGCGUGAGUGACGGUAAUGGGUAAAGAAGCACCGGCUAACUACGUG